UGUGUGUGUGUGUGUAUAUACACACUAUAUAUUCUGUUCCUCUAGAGAACCCUAAUUCAACAACCGUUUAUGAUGAAACUUGGAACAAAGAGAGGCGCUACUUUUUGCCACCGUGAUAGGAUCCUCUCUACCUUGCAGAAGAGUUCUUGGUGGCUAAAACUCAACAAGAAUCUGCUUGUCCCCAGCCCAGACUUUCUCUGGGAGAAAAGGAAUGGAUAAACGUAUGGAAGAUUGAUUGAGUGACUGUGGGCUCCCACCCAAAGAGAUGAUUCAGUCCAGUGGCAGGGAGAAGAGUGAGACCCAGUGGAACGUGAUUUCGCAAUGGGCCCGUUGCCACGACAGGGAACACACUGUUUACUAAAGAGAGCUCUUCAACCUCUCAGUCAUCUUUGCCUUCCAGAAAACUGCAGCCUCAACUCUAGUAAGUAAUCCACCGGCUCAGCCCAAGCCCUGUUGGAGCGGAUAGGGCUAUCCUUGCCACAGUACUGAACAGCAGGAAUGUUGCUCGCAAAGCCUGCCCUUUGGAAGUAGCCAGCAAGGCUGAAAGUGCUCAACCACUCUUUGGAAUGCCACAUUGUAUAUGGGAAGUUCCAUAAUGCGCUACUAAUAAGUAAAGUUUCUCUUGCUGGGUUGUAAGUAUCUGGGCAAGUCACAGGAAAUUCUUCUUGGAACUAAGCAAUAUGGGAAUAAACACACGUAUUAACAUCUGCUCAUGAUAACUAGCUAAUGAAAUAGCCCACUUUGGCCCAGAGUUCGGGAUAAUGAAACAAAUGACUGGUGGUUAAUAAAUCGCUUCAGUGCCGGUAUAUGUUCACUGUACAUCUUGUGUGUCCCGUGUGUUCAUUUGUUCUUUCAAUUGAUUCUUCUUUCAUUGUCCAAGACACAGUCUUUGUUUUUAAACUUUUUAUUCACAUAUGCACUGGUUGCUGUGGCCUCCUUCUGGACUGAGACACUCAUUUACCUGGCUGCUAGGAGUGCUGGUGGUCAGUAGCUCUCAUCUGAGCCUCUCUCCAAAAAUGACCUCUGCUAAAGAGAGCUGCCUGGUUCAAGGUCAUGCUCCCUUCCCUAUGGUAGCCCACAAUUUUAAAGAAAGGACUGACUACAUUGCAAAUACUUGAAGACACCUCUUAAAAAAUUGAUAUGUAAUCAAUGUGGACAUGUAAAGACCCAGCCCUUAAAGCCCAAUUUAAGAUAACCUGGAAGGGCCACUUGCUGGCUACUUCCACAGGGCAGGGUUUGUAGCGGAAAAGCCAUCACAGCUCCAGAGUUUCCAGUGGGCUUGACUGAGGCCUUUGACUGUCUCUCAGUUCAUCUGCUUGCUGUGCUCAUUGCUGCCUUUCUUCUUUCACAGAUACUGUUCCUAAGAGCAUCUGCCCCAGUCAACUUCUCAUCCACAGAUAUUAAUCUCAGUCAACCUCCAGAUUUUUAGACAUAUUUUGAAAGUCUUUCAUCACCAGAUUUCAAAGGUGUUGAUAGAUAUCUAUUUUUAAACAUGGAAAGAUGGUGGUGCAAUGGCCAGUGAGUACAAAAAGUUAAAAAAUUGUAAAAAGUAUGAGCCCAUCCUUAGAAAACAUUCAUAGAGAUUUUUACAUAGAGAGGAAAUUGUUUUAUACAAAAGUGAUUAUUAACAGUAGCUGCU